GUGGUGAUAGCGGAGAGGAAACACCCGUUCCCAUCCCGAACACGGAAGUUAAGCUCUCCAGCGCCGAUGGUAGUUGGGGCCAGCGCCCCUGCAAGAGUAGGUCGCUGCUAGGCAGGC
rnacentral:rRNA from 1 species